GUGCUGGCUUCCACAGCACAUAUACUAAAAUUGGAAUGAUACAGAGAUUAACAAGCAUGACACGCAAAUUAGUGAAGCAUUCCAUAUUUUU
rnacentral:snRNA from 1 species